UAAUAAUAAAAAUAAUAAUAAUAAUGAUGAUAAUAAUCAUAAUAAUGACAAUAAUAACAAUAAUUUACAGUGAAAGCAGAGCAGAGGGCUGAAGACAUUGGAAGCAGGCUGAAAAGACACCUACUGAGACAUAAAAGGACAUGGAUAUGAAGCCUCUGAUGAUUCUCCUCCUGCUAGCAGUUGCAGCAAACUUGCAAGGAAUCCCCACCACCACUCCUGCAGCAGCUGCUACCACCACCACCCCUGCAGCAGCUGUCACCACCACCACUCCUGCAGCAGCUGUCACCACCACCACCGCUGCAGCAGCUGUCACCACCACCACUCCUGCAGCAGCUGUCACCACCACGACUCCUGCAGCAGCUGUCACCACCACCACUCCUGCAGCAGCUGUCACCACCACCACUCCUGCAGCAGCUGUCACCACCACCACUCCUGCAGCAGCUGUUACCACCACCACUCCUGCAGCAGCUGUCACCACCACCACUCCUGCAGCAGCUGUCACCACCACCACUGCUGCAGCAGCUGUCACCACCACCACUCCUGCAGCAGCUGUCACCACCACCACUCCUGCAGCAGCUGUCACCACCACUACUCCUGCAGCAGCUGUCACCACCACCAAUCCUGCAGCAGCUGUCACCACCACCACUCCUGCAGCAGCUGUCACCACCACCACUCCUGCAGCAGCUGUCACCACCACCACUCCUGCAGCAGCUGUCACCACCACCACUGCUGCAGCAGCUGUCACCACCACCACUCCUGCAGCAGCUGUCACCACCACUACUCCUGCAGCAGCUGUCACCACCACCAAUCCUGCAGCAGCUGUCACCACCACCACUCCUGCAGCAGCUGUCACCACCACCACUCCUGCAGCAGCUGUCACCACCACCACUCCUGCAGCAGCUGUCA
rnacentral:lncRNA from 1 species